CUCGUUACUGCAGCCAGUCCAGAACCCGGAAGUAACCAGCUAGUGCAAAUUCUCUUCAAUUAGACAAUUCUCUGAGGAAGAAAUCCGCGUUAGCAGCCUAAUGAGUAAAAUGUCUAUUUUUCCGGCGUCCCCCAGCUCCUCGUUUAAGCAAAAGAUUCUAGAAGAUCAUCAUGCUUGCUGAUGGCCUGCUGCACUCCCUGACCAAGACAAUCUCCACGGCUAUGAACUUGACUAGUGUGUUUUUAAUUAUGUUGGCCAAUGAGACAGGCACCAUACUGUCCAACGCAAAGAUAGGAUAGAGUCAUUUGACUCUGUGAUUCUUCAGGACAAGAUCUUGAUGCCAUCCACACUCAGUACAUGACGAAGGUGAGUUUCGCAAUUGCUGCCAUUAUCACAAAUCAAGAGACAGAACACAACAGGCCUUCUUCCAUAUGAACUCACCCAUAUGUAGGAAUGGGUACCGAAACCCGGUGUUAAAUGGGCCCAGGGUUCUGUUGUCAAUCCGCGUUCGCGGGUCCGCAGUGACGCUGCUGACGUGUGUCUGGUGUGUCCCGUGUAUUCGGCUUCAAAUAAUUAGAGGAGGACUUGCAUUUAUCUUGCCCAGCCAUGUGUCUAAAUCCUUAGACAUCCUUAGAACCCAGAUUUGUUUUGUUUACAGCGUGCGUCUCCCUCUGACUGUAAACGAAGCUUGGGAGCACCA